rnacentral:lncRNA from 1 species
AGCAGACAAAUUGGGAUAUAUUGUUUUAAGGAAAAUAUUAAGUCGCUAAAAAAUUUUAAUGUCCAGUUUUGUCCAAUAUGCUUCCUUCUGUACAACUGAAAAAUUUCAUGUUAUUCCUGACAGUUCGAAAAAAAAAAAUUACCUUUGCCUGACAUGCAAAUUAGUCUUCAAGUUGAAAUGAAAUUCAAGAUCUUGAGUUUCCAAGAAGCAACUGAAUUUCCAAUUGGUAAACCGAAGAGACAAUCGUUCACAAUCUAGGAGAUUGUGGGGUGGAGGAGGGGGUCCAACCAUAUGUCACAUUUAAAUGCAUUGAUCGUCCAAAAAAGUGAGUUUCCAACCCCCGAAACCACUUUCCUACAAAGAAACCGCUAGGGGGACACGAUUCUGGAGACACGAUUCUAAAAUCGAAGCCUGGAAAUGAGU